rnacentral:rRNA from 1 species
UACGGAGGGUGCGAGCGUUGUUCGGAAUCACUGGGCGUAAAGCGCGUGUAGGCGGCUUCUUAAGUCUGGUGUGAAAUCCCGGGGCUCACCCCCGGAAGUGCACUGGAUACUGGGAAGCUCGAGUACCGGAGAGGAGGGUGGAAUUCCUGGUGUAGCGGUGAAAUGCGUAGAUAUCAGGAGGAACACCUGUGGCGAAGGCGGCCCUCUGGACGGAUACUGACGCUGAGACGCGAAAGCGUGGGGAGCAAACAGG